AAGUUCAGUUGAAUAAUUAAUGUUCAGCUCUUUGAGUGGAUGGGAGAACUCAGCAUGUCUGAGGUGGCUAUCUCUUCUGGGUAUUGUUUAAGAAUACAUGUAAGGUGGUGAGACCACAUGCUGCUGAAUGUUUGCCUUCAGAUCCUGGAAAUAUUUGUUGCACCCUACCCCUCCACUUUUUCCCUAGCAAUAUUAUUACUGGCCCAGAGAAGCUUCAUUCCAGCAGGAAGGCUGCCAUUUUGAACCAGUUCAAGCAGCCUUUAUAACAGGAAAUGAUUUAUAUCGUUCAUAAGAUGACCAUUAUGAGCAAAUUUGCGGGUAAAUCCAUGACCAUAAGGGAGGAUUUUAAUUUGUGACAAGGAACAUUUCUUUCUGCUUACUGGAGAGAGACAUCUCUGACCCUUAUCUGUGUGAGUUUAUGAUGGAGACAGACCCUGUGGGUAUCUACUGACUUGAAUUGAGGGGUCUUUCUAACACACAGUUCAGUUUCACAAAUAAACCUCCUUAGGUCCUCAUUUGGGGUACAUAACCGGUGAAGAAAAGAAUCAAGUUAACAUUUGUCUCAAACAUCUGCUUUUCUUUUUUAACUGACAAGUGAUUUCUCUCUCAGGACCCAUGGUUGAUACCAAAGAUCAUCACAAGGACCAGAGAGGGUAACUGAAACCAAAUAAGGGGCUCUCACAUCUAGCCCAAGGCAUGCCGCAAGGGGUGAGGAGGAGCGGAAGUCUCAACGAGCAGGGCAACAGACACGCUGUGCGGGGCCAGAAUUCAAGACCCAAGGGCACUUGGCAUAGAAAUUGUAAGCUGAGUUGGACCAAAGCUUCUCACCUGUGAUAGAACAUGCAGUUUUCCAGGUGUGCUGGUGAGGAGCCUCUGCUUUCCUUUGGCUCAGAAGGAAAGGAAAUUUGCAGGAGGCAGUGAAUCUCAGACUCUUCAUUGGUUAUGAGCAGGAAGUCUCUGGAUCCAAGAGGGAGCCUGACAGCAGGGGUUCCUGGGAAUCAUGUCUGGGGCUGGAGAUGACUGGCUCCACCAGUCAGUGAGGAAGGGCUCCCACUGACCCCGCACCCGGACCAGCUUUGGUGAGGAGACAGAGGCCAGGAGGCGUUGGAGCCCUGCUUCCUCGCACACAAGCAGUUAUGGUACUGAAUUUGGAACUGGAGCUGUCACAUGCGCCACUGGUGCACUGGCCUGAGAGGACACUCAGCUGAGGAAGUUCAGGAGCCCCCUUUUGUAUUUUUCACUCAGGUUGAAGGAUAUCUAUCGCCCUUCCACAGAAAGACCCUGAAUUGGGAGCCAUGUGGGAAGAAGACUGGAUUGGCUAUCAGUCAGAGUCCAGCCUGGGUUUCUUCCAGAUGACCCCACCCGUCCGCCAUCUGGUCUCAGGGGGAAUACAUGGCUUUCUCCUCGCUUCUUUGCAUUUUCCCAGUGCCUUUGAUCUUGGAAAUGUUACCAGAAUGAUGGCUGCAUUUUCAGUGGUGGAAAUGAUUGAUACAUCUCAGAAGCAAAGACUCAUAGGACAUCCACUUCCCAGGGGUGAUGUAUGACUCUCACAAAAGCCACACCAUUAUUUAUAAUACCCUAAUGAGGUGGUUUUUUUUUUCCCCCAUAGAAACAGAACAGGGAUUCCUAACGUUUCCUAGAAUUUUUCUCCCCAAAAAAGAAAGAAAAAAAGAAUUCAUCUAAAUGUCCAUUUGUUAGCCUCGCAUUGGAAGGGACGAGCCUUAGAGAAUAACUUAUGAGUAAACCAAAACCAUCCUUCAUCUCCUUCACAUCAGCCUGACCCCGAAGAGUUUCCUGGAGCUCACAGGAAGGUUUAUUGAAAAGAUAAAUCUGCUUUGGAGGGCAUUUAUAUUUCAAGGAGAGAUGGAAUUUGGGGAAGUGCCACAUAGAUAUCUGUCAUUCUACAAAUCAUAUUUAUUGUCAGUGACCUGAAGUCUGGAGCAUGUUGUGAUGGUUAAAUAAUGUCCAUAGUUUUGCUCUCCAGGAAUGCUUUUGUCCCCCACCUUAUCAUUACUACUCUGUGCUGGGUCUUUCAGGCCUCCAGCAGAUAAGCUGCUUAUAUUUAUCUGAGUAGUUGGUUAAUUUUGGAGGCAAUCGCCUUGCAGGUAUAAUUUUCUUCCUUUGACAGAGAACAAAGCCUGGAUUCCUAUCCUUUUUGUUUCCUUAUUCAAGCUUUGUUUCCCACCAGGCUCUUACCAGUUCUGUUUAAUUAAAGAAAAUAUGAUUGAUUACGUAUGUAGAUUCCUCCAAAAAGAUCUCCAUAUGCCUGUGUGUGCUCAUGUACAUACACAUAUCCCCACAGUACAUGUAUACUUCUGUAUAUGUUUUUUUUUUUUUGACUAGGUCUUUCCUGAAAAAACAUUUGAGUAUGAUAAAAGCUGCCCAAGAAGAGGAAGGAAGAAGGGGUGGUACUUCUGGGUUAUGAGAAAGGAUUCACGUUGUCCAGGGAGCACGCGCAGAGCUCUGACGCGAUGCCAGUCCAACAGCGACCAAACGCGCAGUGGAUGAAAGAUGGUAUUAUUACAGGAGCGUCAGAUAGCACAAUAUAUGAAUCACUGUGGUUGGAAUCGUUGUUAAAUGAUUGCUAAAUUAUUUUCCUGGUGGAAGCAACUUAAACUGUUGAAAGAAGAUGAAGUAGAAUCAAGACACUUGGUGUGGUGGCUGGAAGGCUGAAGAGUGGAGUCAUCUGAAGGGCCCUCAUUCAUGUGCCUGGCGGUGGAUGUUGACUGUUGGCUGGCACCAGCAUGGGGCUGGGGCUGGAACACCCACGUGUGGCCCCUCCACGUAGCUGCUUAUCUUCCCCACAAUAUGGCAGCUGGGUUCCAGAAUCUGAGUCAAGACAGUCGCAAAGCAUUGCCCUGGUGCAAGGAGAGAGAAAGUAGACUCCAUCUCUUGACGGUCAAGUAGCAAGUUUUGCAAGAACAGAUGAGACUGGAAAUACUAAUGUGGCCAUUUCAGGGAGAUACAGCCUGCCCCAGUAAGUCCUCUCCUUUCUGCCAUUGUACCACAUAUGAGCAGAGCAAAUGUGGACAAUUACCCAGAUCCUCUUGGCUUCCCAUAUGAAUAUCCUUCAGGCACCUCUGGCUGGAACUCAUGAACUAAAUGAACUACAAUUAAUUAUGGUUACACGAAAUGAAUGUGCCAUCCCUCACAUAAGUGGAAAUAUUUGUAUGGAGCUGCAAAGGAUGUGUAAGAUUUCUACAGGCAGAGGAAACAGAACAAACAAAGGCCCAGAUGCUUGAAGUUGCCUGGCACAUUCAAGGAUAGAACCCGAUGCGUAGAACCCAGUGUUCACUUCUGAGUUUCUAAAUCAACGAUCAAGUCAAAGCAAUGACUGAUUAACUGUUAAUCUGAUUUGCUGCAUUUAUGGAUUUCCAUUUAAAAGCUGAUGAGGCACAGACAUAUUUUACUCCAGAAGAAAAAGAGCUAAUACAGAAAUUAGAUCCUAUUUCAGUUUUUACUAAGAAAGUUCACACUGAGUGUCAAAGCACCAGUAUUAUUAUACAUAUAAAUAUUGAUUGGUCUAAUAAUUUUUCUUUUUUUAAUUGAAGUAUAGUGGAUGUACAAUGUGUUAAUUUCAGGUGUACAGCAAAGUGAUUCAGUUAUACAUGCACAUAUGUAUAUUCUUCUUCAGAUACUUUUCCAUUAUAGGUUAUUACAAGACAUUGAAUAUAGUUCCCUGUACCAUACAGUACGUCCUUGUUUAUCUAUUUAAGUGUGUGUAUGUUCAUUUCAAACUCCUACUUUAUCCCUCCCCAUCUUUCCCCUUUGGUAACCAUAAGUUUGUUUUCUAUAUCUAUAAGUCUAUUUCUGUUUUGUAAAUAAGUUCAUUUGUAUCAUUUUUUAGAUUCCACAUAAAAGUGAUUCAUGCUAUUUGUCUUUCUCUGUCUCACUUCACUUAAUGUGAUGAUCUCCAGGUCAUCCACGUUGCUGCAAGUGGCCCUAUUUCAUUCUUUUUUAUGACUGAGUAGUACUCCAUUAUAUAUACAAACAUAUAUAUAUAAACUUUUUCUUUAAUCUAUUUUUUAUAUAUAGUGGCUAACAUUUGUAAAUCUCAAACUCCCAAAUUUAUCCCUUCCCACCCUCUUUCCCCAGUAACCAGAAGAUUGCUUACUAUGUCUGUGAGUCUGUUUCUGUUCUGUAGUUGAGUUCACAGGGUCCUUUUUUCUUUUCUUUUUUUUUUUUUCAAAUUCCAUGUAUGAGUGAUACCAUAUGGUAUUUUUCUUUCUCUUUCUGGCUUACUUCACUUAGAAUGACAUUCUCCAGGUCCAUCCAUGUUGCUGCAAAUUGCAUUUUAUUCUUUUGCAUGGCUGAGUAGUAUUCCAUUGUAUAAAUAUACCACAGCUUCUUUAUCCAGUCAACUGUCGAUGGACAUUUAGGUUGUUUCCAUGUCUUAGCUAUUGUAAAUAGCGCUGCUAUGAACCUUGGGGUUCAGGCGUCUUUUUGAAUUAGGGUUCCUUCUGGAUAUAGGCCCAGAAGUGGGAUUGCUGGAUCAUAUAGUAAGACUAUUUUUACUUUUUUGAGGACUCUCCAUACUGUUUUCCAUAACAGCUGCACCAAACUACAUUCCCAUCAGCAGUGUAGGAGGGUUCCCUUUUCUCCACACUCUCCAGCAUUUAUCGUUUGUGGACUUUUGAAUGAUGGGCAUUCUGACUGGUGUGAGGUGAUACUCAUUGUAGUUUUGAUUUCCAUUUCUCUGAUAAUUAACGAUACUGAGCAUUUUUUCUUGUGCCUAUUGGCCAUUUGUAUGUCUUCAUUGGAGAAUUGCUUGUUUAGGUCCUCUGCCCAUUUUUAGAUUGGGUUGUUUGUUUUUUUGUUCUUAAGUUGUAUGAGCUGUUUAUAUAUUCUGGAAAUUAAGCCUUUGUCACCUGCAUCAUUUGCAGAUAUUUUCUCCCAUUCUGUAAGUUGUCCUUUUGUUUUACUUAUGGUUUCCUUUGCUGUGCAAAAGCUUUUGAAUUUAAUUAGGUCCCAUUUGUUUAUUUUUGCUCUUAUUUUCAUUGCCUGGGUAGACUGCCCUCUAUUUUUAUUUUUUUAAGGAAUCUCCAUACUGUCCUCCAUAGUGACUGCACCAAUUUACGUUCCCACCAACAGUGUAGGAGGGUUCCUUUUUCUCCACAUCCUCUGCAGCAUUUGUUUGUAGACUUUUUGAUGACCAGUGUAAGGUGCUACCUCUUUGCAGUUUUGAUUUGCAUUUGUCUAAUAAUUGGCGAUAUUGAGCAUCUUCUCAUGUCCCUCUUGGCUAUCUGUAUGUCCUUGGAGAAGUAUGUAUUUAGGUCUUCUGUUCAUUUUUUGAAUGGGUUUUUUGUUUUUUUGAUACUGAACUGUAUGAGCUGUUUGUGUAUUUUGGGAAUUAAUCCUUUGUUGGCCUCAUCGUUUGCAAAUAUUUUCUCCCACUCAGCAGGUUGUCUUUUCGUGUUAUUUGUGGUUUCCUUUGCUAUGCAAAAGCGUAUAAGUUUAAUUAGGUCCCAUUUAUUUAUUUAUUGUUUUUAUUUCCAUUACUCUAGGUGAUGGAUCCAAAAAAUAGUGCUGUGAUUUAUGUCAAAUAGUGUUCUGUCUAUGUUUUCCUAAGAGUUUUAUAGUAUAUGGUCUUAAAUUUAGGUCUUUAAUCCAUUUUGAGUUUAUUUGUAUAUGGUGUUAGAGAAUGUUCUAAUUUCAUUCUUUUAUAUGUAGCCGUCCAGUUUCCCCAGCACCACUUACUGAAGAGACUAUCUUUUUUCCAUUGUAUAUUCUUGCCUCCUUUGUCAUAGAUUAAUUGACCAUAAGUAUGUGAGUUUAUUUCUGGGCUUUCUGUCCUGUUCCAUUGAUCUAAGUGUCUGUUUUUGUGCCAGUACCAUACUGUUCUGAUUAUUGUAGCUUUGCAGUCUGCAGUCAGGGAGCUUGAUUCCUCCAGCUCCAUUCUUCUUUCUCAAAAUUGUUUUGGUUCUUCAGGAUUGUUUUUCCAUAUAAAUUAAAAAAUUUUUUGUCCUAGUGCUGUGAAACAUGCCAUUGGUAAUUUUAUAGGGAUCACAUUGAAUCUGUAGCUUGCCUUGGGUAGUCAUUUUAACAAUAUUGAUUCUUCCAAUACAAGAAUACGGUGUAUCUUUCCAUCUGUUUAUGUCAUCGUCAGUUUCUUUGAUCGGUGUCUUGUAGUUUUCAGAGUACAGGUCUUUUGUCUCCUUAGCUAGGUUUAUUCCUAGGUAUUUUAUUCUUUUUGAUGUGAUGGUAAGUGGGGUUGUUCUCUUAAUUUCUCUUUCUGAUAUUUCAUUGUCAGUGUAUAGAAAUGCAACUGACUUCUGUAUGUGAAUUUUGUUAUCCUGCAACUUUACCAGAUUCAGUGCUGAGCUCUAGUAGUUUUCUGGUAGCAUCUUUAGGAUAUUCUAUGCAUAGUGUUGUGCCACCUGGAAACAGUGACAGUUUUAUUUCAUUUUUUAUAAUUUGGAUUCCUUUUAUUGAUUUUCCUUCUCUUACUGCUGUCUCUAGGGCUUCCAAAACUAUGUUGAAUAGAAGUGGCGAGAGUGGCCAUCCUUGUCUUCUUGUUCCUGAUCUCAGAGGAAAGGCUUUCAGCUUUUCAACACUGAGUAUGAUGUUAGCUGUGGGUUUGUCAUAUACGGCCUUCAUUAUGUUUAGGUAUGCUCCCUCUAUGCCCACUUCCUGGAAAGUUUUUAUUAUAAAUAGAUGUUGAAUUUUAUCAAAAGUUUUUUCUGCAUCUCUUGAUAUGAUCGUGUGGUUUUUAGUCUUUGAUUUUUUAAUGUGGUGUAUUACACUGAUUGAUUUGCAGAUACUGAAAAAUCGUUGCACCCCUGGGAUAAAUCCCAGUUGAUCAUGGUGUAUGAUCCUUUUUUACGUAUCAUUGGAGUCAGUUUGCUAGUAUUUUGUUGACGAUUUUUGGACCUAUGUUCAACAGUGAUAUUGGCCUGAAAUUUUCCUUGUGAUAUUUGUCACAAAUCAGGUAUCACAAAAAAAAAAGAUACAUGAUUUGUCUGGUUUUGGUAUGAGGGUGAUGAUGGCCUAAUAAAAUGAGUUCAGAAGUGUUCUUCCUCUGCAAUUUUUUAGAAUAGUUUCAAGAGGAUAGAUGUUAACUCUUCCCUAAAUGUUUGGUAGAAUUCACCUGUGAAGCCAUCUGGUCCUGGACUUUUGUUUUGGGGGAGUUUUAAAAUAGCUGAUUGAAUUUCAGUACUGGUAAUUGGUCUGUUCAUAUUUUCUAUUUCUUCCUGGUUCAGUCUUGGGAGAUCUUACCUUUCUAAGAGUUUGUCUAUUUCUUCUAGGUUCUCCAUUUUAUUGGCGUGUAGUUGCUCAUAGUAGCCUCUUAUGUUCCCUUGUAUUUCUGUGAUGUAAGUUGUAACUUCUCCUUUUUCAUUUCUGCUUUUAUUGAUUUGGGCCCUCUUCCUUUUUUUCUUGAUGAGUCUGACUAAAGGCUUAUCAAAUUUUGUUUAUCUUUUCAAAGAACCAGCUUUUAGUUUCAUUGAUCUUUUCUUUUUCUUUUUUUUUUUUGUCUCUAUUUCUGUUCUGGUCCUUAUGAUUUCUUCCCUUCUACUAACUUUGGGUCUUGUUUGUUCUUUUUCUAGUUGCUUUAGGUGUAAGGUUAGGUUGUUUAUUUGAGAUUUUUUUUCUUGUCCCUGAGGUAAGCUUGUAUUGCUAUAAACUUCCCUCUUAGAACUGCUUUUGCUGUGUCCCAUAGGUUUUGUAUUACCAUGUUUUUGUUUUCAUUUGUCUCUAGGUAUUUUUUGUCUUUGAUUUCUUCAGUGAUUCAUUAGUUGUUUAGUAGCAUAUUGUUUAGCUUCCACAUGUUCGUGGGUUUUGUAGUUUUUUUUCUUGUAGUUGAUUUCUAAUUUCAUAAUGGUUGGAAAAUGUGCUUGAUAGUAAAGUUACUUUCACAGGCUUGCUUUCUGGCCCAGUAUGUGAUCUAUCCUGGAGAAUGUUCUGUGCAUCUGCUGCUCUUGGAUGGAAUGCUCUAUAAAUAUCAAGUCCAUCUAGUCUAAUGUGUCAUUUAAGGUCUGUGUUUCCUUAUUCAUUUUCUGUCUGGAUGAUCUGUCCAUUGAUGUAAGUGGGGUGUUAAAGUUCCUUUUACUAAAUAUUUGCCUUAUGUAUUGAGGUGCUCCUGUGUUGGGUACAUAUAUAUUUAUAAUUGUUGUAUCUUCUUCUUGGAUUGAUUUCUUGAUUCUGUAGUGUCCUUUGUUUAUUGUCUAUUUUUUGUCUGAUAUAAGUACUCCAACCCCACCUUUCUUUUGAUUUCCAGUUGUCUGGAAUACCUUUUCCAUCCCCUCACUUUGUCUGUAUGUGUCUCUAGGUCUGAAGUGGGUCUCUUGUAGGCAGCAUAUAUAUGGGUCUUGUCUUUGUAUACACUCAGCUAGUCUAUGUCUUCAGGUUGGAGCAUUUAGUCCAUUUACAUUUAAGGUAAUUGACAUAUAUGUUUUUAUUGCUAUUUUGUUAAUUGUUUUGGAUUUGUUUCUACAGGUCUUCAUCUUCCCUUCUUUUAUUCUCUUCUCUUGUGAUUUGUUGACUAUUUUUAGUGAUAUAUUUGGAUUCCUUUUUCUUUUUUGUAUGUAUAUCUAUUAUAGAUUUUUCGUUUGCAGUUACCAUGAAGUUUUGGUAUAGCAGCCUAUAUACAUGAUGGUUUAAGAUGUUUAUCUCUUAAUUUCAAAUGCAUUGUAAAUAUCUUGCAUUUAUACUCUCCUCUCCUCAUGAUUAGUGAUUUUGAUAUCAUAUUUAACAUCUAGUUGUUCUGUGUAUCCCUUACCUGUUCAUUGUGAAUACAGAGAAUUGUUUUGUCUUUUAACCUCCCUACUAGUUUGUGUGUGGAUGAUUUCCUACCUUUACUGUAUGUUUGCAUUUAAUGGUGAGCUUUUCCAUUUCAUAAUUUUCUUGUUUCUAGUUGUGGCUUUUUCUUUCUCCCUAGAGAAGUUCCUUUAGCAUUUGUUGUAAAGCUGGUUUGGUGCUGCUGAAUUCUUCUAGCUUUUGCUUGUCUGUAAAGCUUUUGAUUUCUCCAUCAAAUCUGAAUGAGAGCCUUGCUGGUUAGAGUAUUCUUGGUUGCAGGCUUUUUCCUUUCAUCACUUUAGAUAUCUCUUGCCACUCCCUUCUGGUCUGUAUAGUUUCUACUGAAAAAUCAGCUGAUAGCCGUAUGGAAAUGCCCUUGUAUGUUUCCCUUACUGCUUUAGUAUUUUCUCUUUAAUUUUUGUCAUUUUGGUUACAGUAUGCUUGAUGUGUUCCUCUUUGGGUUAAUCCUGUGUAGUACUCUCUGUGCUUCCUGGACUUGGGUGACUGUUUCCUUUCCCAGGUUGGGGAAUUUUUCAGCUAUUAUCUCUUCAAAUAUUUGCUCAGGCCCUUUCUCUCUCUUCGCUUUUUGGGACCCCUAUAAUGAGAACAUGAAUGUGCCUGAUACUGUCUGAGCUCUCUUAAACUGUUCUCAUUUCUUCUCAUUUUUCCUCCUGUUCUGCAGCAGCGAUAUCCAGUACUCUGUCUCCUAGCCCACUGAUCCGUUCUUCUGCAUUAUUUAUUCGACUACUGAUUCCUUCUAGUGUAUCUUUCAUUUCAGUUAAUGUAUUUUUCAACUGUUUGAUUGUUUUUUAUAUUUUCUCUUUAUUAAAAGCUUCUUCCUCUGUGCAUUCAUUCUUCUCCCAAGUUCUUUGAUCACUUCACGAUUAUCACUCUGAACUCUUUCUCAGAUAGACUGCCUAUCUCCACAUCGCUUAGUUCUUCUUCUGAGGUUUUUAUCUUGUUCCUUCAUCUGGGAGAUAUUCCUCUGCCACCUUAUUGUGUCGAAAUUUCUAUUUGUAUUUUUGUGUGGGUUAGUUUACAUUUCUUGACCUUGGAGAAGUGGCCUGUAGGAGACAUCCUGUGUGUCCCAGCAGUGCACUCCCCUCUCCUCACCCAAGGCCAGGCCCAGCUGGUGCCGGGGUGGGGUCUGCCCUGCCUCUGCAGGCUCAGUUCCACAGGUUGCAGGAAUCUCAGUUUUUUUUCUUCCAGUGUCUGCCCUCUAGUGGGUGAGGCUGGUCUAGAGGCUCAGGCGGGAUUCCUGGAGGGAGGGGCUGGUGCCUGCCCAUUGGUGAGUGGAGCUGGAUCCGGGCCCUCUGGUGGGCAGGGGCAGGUCUAGAGGCAGCUCAGGAAGGCUUGGGCAGCUUGUCUGCUGACGGCUGGGGUUGUGUCCUCGCCCAGUUGGUUGACUGACCUGAGGCUCCCCAGCACUGGGACCUGUAGGCUAUUGGGUGCGGCCAGGUCUUGGGGCUAAUGAGCCAAGAUAUUUGCCACCAGAGAGAUCACGCAAAGGGAUAUGUCUAACCCAGGGUGAGCCACAGUCACCCCAUCCCUCCUCAGGAGACCCUCCAGGACCAGAGGGUAGAAGAGCCUAUGAAGUUACUGCUUUUGCCCUUGGUCCCAAUGAUGAGAUUUUGUGUGCGCCCUUUAAAGUCUCUGUUUGCCUCAGUCUCGUGGGACUCCUGCAAUUAAGUCCCACUGGCCUUCAAAGCCAAAUGCUCUUGGGGCUCCCCUUUCUGGUGCUGGACCCCCAGCUGGGGAGCCUGACCUGGGGCUCAGAACGCUCCCUGCUGUGGGAGAGCCUCUGCAGUAUAAUUACUGUGCAGUCUUCCAGAGUGCUGGGGUGUAUGGAGGGUGAAUAAAUCCCGAGUGUGCCGCUCCUACCAUGUCAUUGUGGUUCCUUCUUUAUGUCUUUUAUUGUGGAAGAUCUUUUCUGGUAAGUUCCAGUCUUCUUCAUCAAGAGUUGCUCUUUAGUUAGUUGAUGUGCUUACGAGAGGAGGUGAGCUCAAGGUCCUUCCACUCUGCCAUCUUGGCACGUCUUCCUAAUAAUUUUUCAAUUUACUAGUUUUCAGAAAGAAAUCCAAACACUUUACAUGCUUCAAGGAAAUUUUGAAAUGCAUAUUUACCUCUUCAAAAUUGUAAUUUAUGUGAAAACUCUUUUUGUUGUUCCCACUAUGUUUUAGUUAUGUCUAGCAACCUCAUUUGGACAAAAUAUAUAGAUUCUUCAUUAAUACUAGAUUUUACAUUUAAUUAGCAUGUGUUUUCAAUUCUAAGACUAUCUUGGGGGCCACAUUUUAGCCACUCUAAAGUCGGGCUGUGUACAUUGUAGUAUCUGUGAACAUUUCAUGUAGUAUUUUCCUGUCUUUUUCAUCUUCUACCUCCCCCUACCAAAAAGCUAUUAUUAAAUCUAUGCUGCUUCUUGGCAUUUUAGAAUUGAGGAAAUGUGGAAAGUGCAUGCAUGGAGGAUGGAUGACUGCCUUUGAUUUUGCCAAAAGGAAAGAAAGAGAAAUGAUAAAUAAGGCAGAAGAGGAAUUGCUUCGACUAAAGAUUUGCAAACCUUCUCUCCCUCUUCCCUUACAUUUUGAGUGUGGCUUCAUGUAUGUCUGACAGCUGGGAGUUUGGAAUGACUUUUUCUGCAGUGUCUAAAGGAGAAUAAAAAAAAAAAAGAUUUAAUUUCACUUUAAUUCCAAUAUUUUUAAAUUGCUUUGGUUUAGUAAGUUAAUGAGGUCAGUUAGUUGCUGGAGCCAGAGAGAACACUUUUACCUAGAGAUUAAGUUAAAAACCUUAGAAAGUUAAAUCUAGGGGGCAAUUUUAAAGGUUGUCCAGUCCAGCCAAAGCUUUGGCUAUGGGACCUUGUCCUCUAAGAACCUUCUUUCAGCUUUAGUUCUAGAGUUCUCCUUGAUUCUCUCUUAGCCUGAUGAUUAUGGGAUGUUCUUAGAUAUUUCCUGCCCUAUUACUUUUGAUCUUAAAAUAGCAACCUCUAAGGCAAGUUAAAUUUUCUGGUUGCUGUAGACAUAUAAGUUGCUUAAUGCUCAGCAAAGUGUAGGAAAGAUUUAGGGGUCAAACAGACUGUAGUUCAAGCCUCAGUUCUGCCACGUCUUGGAUGUGUGACUAGUCAAGUUACUCAGCAUCUCUAAACCUUAUUUAUUCAAGUCAUUCAAAACAUCAUCAGUGUCAGUGAGGCUUGCAUAACUAGAAUGUGCCAGCUCUAGCCUAACAAAACAGACAUAGCUUAGCUCAUGAGGAUACAUGGGAAUGAGUUGCCAGUGACAAUCUGGAGGACAAGUUCUCUGAUACGGAUAGCCCUGGCUUGGAAAUGGGGCACACUGCAGCAAACCUUUUGGAGAAAUUGCAUCAAUCUGAGAUGUGAAGAAUGACUAGGGAUAGUCAGAUGGUUAGGAAAAAUCACAAGUGCCUUGCCUAUAAAAUGAGGACACACCUAUGUUGUUGGGUUAUAGUGAGAAACAGACAGUGAAUAUAAUACACCAGGACUGUGCCUGACAGGUCAGUAUUGGUCCAGGAAACAGGGUCUGAAUGGGUACCAUUCUAGGCAAUGGGGAUGCAAAAAUGAGUAGGAUGCUGUCUGUGUCCUACCAGGUCUUAGAAGCUCGAGGUCUGCUUCGAGCUUCCUAGGCUGCCUCUGCUACUGCUCUUGUUUCAUUGCGCUGUGCUUCCCUGUUCAGGCGUCUGAAUCCUGAGACCACCAGCUUAGCGAGGCCAGGAAGGCUUCUCUCUUAUCCACGGCUGUAUCUUCAAUGCUUAGUAGUCCUAGUGGACCUUUGCUAUUCAUCUUAGCCCCGGUUGCAGACGCGGUCACUUCCCUGACAAAUCAUCUGUCCCUUACCUUUUCAGCUUACACCUGCCCAACUUUCAGCUACUUCCCUGCUGAAUUUGCUUGCCUGAAGGUUUCCUCUGUCUGGUGCUCACUCUGCUCACACAUCAGGGAGGAAAGCUAGGAGUGCAGGCGAAUUAAGGGGCAUUAAGCCACACUCACGCUGCUCUCAGUUAGUGGAUAAAUACCUCAGCUCCUGGGCGCAGGGAUGAGUCUGAGGCAUGUCUUGUACACUGGCUCCAAGUCCCCCCUAGAGGAUUUAGUUCUCCUCACCUCACAGGGAUAACUCGAUGCCCAGAAUUAAUUCUGUGGACAGAUGGUAGCAGAGACAACAAUUUGAAUGGUAGCAUCCAGGACCCAGUGCUGGCGGCCCAUGUGAUAAAACCCAGGGCAUGCAGCAUGGCUUCACCCAAACAGUUCCACUUGGGGAUUUUUGAGCACUGCUCCUCGUUAGCCUCCAAACCUGUUUCAUAGGUCCUCUCACAGAUUCUUUGAUCUCUACAGUAUCUUUUGUGAUAAAUACCUUUCCUGCCACUGUGUCAAGGUUGAUUUUUGUAGCUUACAACUAAGAAUGUGGUCUGUGUCAGUCAGGAUAGAGCCAGGAAAACAGUCCUCUGAGUCUUUCAAGUAGACGGGAUUUUAAUACAGAUGUCGUUUAAAGGGGUGAUGGAAAAGCUGGAAAGCCAGACAGGGAGAAAUGAGGCAACUCACAGGUCAGUAAUAGCUGGAAGCUGCCAUCACCCUAGGGCUGGAGGAAGAGAGUCGGUCAUGUGACAGGAGCUAGAAUCAUCUGGGGGCUUCCUGGAGGGGUGUCCAGUGGGAUCCAGGACCUGAAGCUCACAGGAAGGAGGGGAGGUUUUUAAUCCCACACCUCCUGUUAGUUCUAAGUAACCAGAAGCUAGAGGGCACAGGAGCCCAUAAUACAGAGCAGAAGAGGGAAGAGCCAGAAAAUAGACGUGCAAGUCAACAGGCAGUUGACAUGCAUGCGCAGUAGGAGCUCAGAUACUUUAUGGCUGAAUGAGUGAAGAGAAAAACCAGGGAGAGAGCGGGGACCAGAAUCCUGUGUUUAUGUCAACUCUGAAAAGAAGAGGGAGAUAAGAGGACCCCCCUAAGAAGCACAGCAGUCGGAGAGAUGGGAGGGAAAUGAGGCAAGAGAAGUGUCUCGGGUGUCCCGGCCCUGGGGCAGUCAUGUCUGCCAGCCUUGAAACCAGACUUGCACCAGACGGACCUCUGAAUUAUUCAUCGGGUCUAGACAGGAGGCUCGGAGCGCUUAUCCAUGAGCUUUGGGUAUCAUAGCUUCUAAUCCAGGCUAUUCCCUGGGUAACUUGGGUUAUUAAGUGAGGAUAACAGUACAUGCCAACUUUCACUGGGCAAGGUGAGGAGCAGCAAAGAAAAGAUUUUUAAAUACUUGGCAAAACAGAGAAAUGUGUCGCAGCAAGAAUCUUAAUUGAUGACCUAGAGACAUGUGCAUUCAUUCUCACGGUCUGAAUUUAUGGGACUGUCCUCUAUGACUUCCACGAAUAAAUGGAAUGUAAUCUGUUUGUUGGAGGCAGUGCCUCAGAGAAAACAAAAGUGUGUGUUUGGAUUUGUGAGAAGGGACAUGGUGUAAUAGAAGAGCAUAAAUUUAAGAUUCGGGGAACCUCGUUUUAAUCUGAGCUCUGCUGCUCAUGAGCCUUGUGAUUUUAGACAUAUUUUAAACUGAGCUUCAGUUUCUUCAUGUUUAAAAUUGGCAUCAUCAUCAUAAUUCCUGGCUUCAAAUUAAGAUAAUGUUUUUAUGAUUGUGUGGGCAAGCCCCAUGCCAGCACGGAUGGGCACUUUGUAAGUAUUUGUUCUCUUCCUUGGUCUCCCUUCUUUUAUCAUUGCUCCAACCCAGAGGGAAAAAAGUGAGAAAGUAAAAUGUUUUCAAAAAAAAAAAAAAGGCUACUGUGAAUUGUUUUCAUAGGAAAAUGCUUAAAGGAAUUCAAACCCCAAACUCAGUGUUCCUGCUCAUUCUUGAAAGCACCGAAGUCCACAAGCACUGUAAAGCCAGGGCCGUUUACUCAGGAUUUCAGAUGUUCCAUUAAAAAAUUCACCUGCACUUAUUUUAUGUCUUCAAAAAUCCUCACUUCCCAUGGCUGAGUAAAACGAUUUCUUCCUCGGGCGGUGUCUUGCUGUUUCUGGGACCCAGGCAAGGAGUCCCUGUGCCUUUAAGCACGCUGUUUCUUCUGGACGCAGCUGGAAUGUGAUCGCUUCAAGGCUCACUGCAAAGGCGCUGGGCCUGGGCCUGGGCCAGCCCCCGAGGAGGGUUGCCAAGAUACGACACCAGACACAAGACCCCUCCGUCUCCCUCUGGGUUUCUGGAGCAGCUGUCUCUAGCUCUGCUGUUGAAAUCACAGUUCCUUCAUUACAAUCCAAACACAUCUGUCCCCCAGACAAGAAAAUGCUUAAUAAAGGGACUUCCUCCACGCUGGCUAGUCUUGUGGUCUUAUCCAGCCCUUAAAGACAAUGCCCAGGCUGAGUACCACAAGGGAGCCUGUCCAGGGAUGGAGGCCACCCCUGGGAUGUGUCCCCGGGGAGGCAGAGUGCCAGCUAGCAUUGAUACCUGGGGCUGCUGUCAGGGUACUCACCACUUGGCUUGGCUUUGAAACAUCAUUGGGAGCUCAGACAAGAUCAGUUCUCACUGAAGCUUCAUUUGUGCAUCGACAGGUACCUGUAAAUAUAAAUUUUGUCAUGACUUUCUGUGUCAGAAAAUACAAUUUCAAAGCAAAAUGUAUUCUUUAUUCAAAGAAGUGGUGGUAGUGUCAACCCAAACUUAAGCCGUGUCCUAGGUAGUGGAGGUCAAAAAGGAAAGUUCUCCGCCACGGAUUUUUAGGAUUUGCUUGCCCCUGCAGGGCCCUUUUCCAGGCGGGAAAAGAAGCUUCCCAGGAGAGGGGAGACCCAUGUUCUGGGUCUGCGGGAUGGAAUGCUCAAGGAAGGCACUGAUCCCUUCCCAGCACUGGCCCCUGGAGGUGCCAACCCCAUGGUGGACCCCUAGCCCCGGGGCCCCUCUUGGAGGUUGGUGCUCUGGGAUUGCAGCAGUAGCAGCUGGUCCUCCCCUCACCCCAUGUCUGUCUCACUCAGUCAUUUAUUUUGGUAACCAAAUGGCCACAGUUACCCAUGUCCUGUUCUUUCAGAACUAUUUUAAGCCUAUUUAGUCAUUUGUAUUAAUAUUUAAUUCCAUAUUCUAAAUAGAAUGCUACCUCUAGUCGCUUCCUAUUAUGGUAAAGAUUUAUCUCACGUCCCUUUACCCUUCCUCCGUGCUUCCAGUUUGUUACACUCCAGUUCUCGCUGUUCCCAUUAUCUGACAAUGGCGCGUUCACCUGUGAGCCGAGGAGCCUGUGAUCACUAUGGUUCUUUUCUUUUUUGGGGUAUUUUUUCCUAGAGCCUGUCGAUUAUUUUAUUUUUUUAAGAUGUACUCUGUUUUCUCCAUACGUGUUAAGUUUCCCCAGCCCCUUCAAGAGCCUGUAGCAUCCAAGGCACUAUUUUUAGCACAUUAAGUAACGUAUUUAACUUUUUAAAUACCACUGUGAGGUAGGUGGAAUCCAAUCCCCAUUUUACAGAUGGGGACACGAAGCACAGAGGGGCCGACUGGCUGGUGUAGGAUCCUAAGUGGCAGAGGCAGGAUUCGAGCCCAGCCAGUCUGGCUUCUGCAUGCACAUUCCCAAACUCAAGCAGCACAGCCUUAGCUCUAACUUUCUACACAAGCAAGUCUACCAGAUAAGCAACGAGGUAUCAUUUGUUUAAACAGAGCUCUCUCUCCGGUGUGCCCCCCGCCUGUGCUCUUGUGUCCCGCACCUGUGCCCGCUGCCGUCCUCGGACUUCUGCUCACUCCUGUCCGGGGAAUUUCCGACACCUCCCUCCUGUACUGACUCCUUGUUUCCCGGGUAUCACGUCUUCUUUCUUGGUUCACCUCCUUGCUUUAGGGGGAGCCGUCCUGUAGAAGACUUCUUGAGAAAAGGUGCAUGGGACACAAAUACUUUUUAGACCUUAAAUGGCAGGAAGUGUUUCUAUUCUACCUUGAUAGCGUGGAGUCGAGUGUUCACUGCCAUUCUCAUUCUUGACGGUUUAUGUGUGACCUGUUUCUCCCCUUCCUUGAAACGUUCACCGUCUUCCUGGCAUUCUGGAGUUUGACAGCAGUGGCGGGUCUUUUCUCAUUUAUCGUGCUGGGUGCUCAGCAGGCCUUUUUAAGUCUGGACCCUCGUGUUCUGCACGCCCAGAAAAUGUUCUUGUAAUGGUUCUCUUGACAUUUUUCUCUUCUGGAUCCUUACGGUACCAUGUUGGCUUCCUGGAUUCGCCCCCUAGU